rnacentral:lncRNA from 1 species
UUACAACUAAGAUCAGCACAAACAGACAUUGUCAAUGAAAAGUCCCAGCCAGGCAGAGAACAAAGAGCACACUCAUUCAUUUAAUGUACAUUCAUUGGAUAUUGAGAGACAAUGCUGGGCACUUCUGGUAGGUUGGUGAACAAACCACAUGGUUCUUGCCCUUCUAGACCAAUAUUCAAUGGGAAUACAAAGGGAAAGAAGAAAUGAAAUAAACAAUCGUGGGCAUUUGCAGAGGAUAAGCAAGAUUCAGUGUCAGAGAACUGUUGAGAGGGGGAACUCUUGAGAGAUUCCACACAAUGUUCAUUUGUCCAAUGUGAAGGGCAAUUUAUCCAUUCCACACAUAUUUAUGGAUCAUUUGCUGUGUGCCAGGCAUGGUGCUAUCUGUUAGGUUAAGUGAGUUCUCAGUCAAAACCAUGGACAAAGGCCUCCUUUUGGACAUUUUCCCAGACCUGCUUGGCUCUUUGUUAAAAUGGUACUUGUCACAAACUUGUUGGUGCAACUCCUGUUAACAAAAGCAUUCCACAGCUCACGUUCUUUGUGUUUUAUUUCCCACUGUGAAAAGGGCAAUAUUAAGCGAGCAAAUGAAAGGUCUUUGGCUUAGAGUCAGGGGACUGUUGCUUUCUUCCAGCUCUGCCACAUAUUAGCUCUGUGCUCCAGGACCGUGCUGUCUUUCUGGUUCUCAGUUUACCUGCUGCUAAGGUGGGCAUGAAAUGACAUCUUCCAUCUCAUCCAGUUCCCAGGCACAUGGAGAAGGGUUUCCUGUUGUCACUCUUGACAUAAAGACAGUGCUUGAGGUAUCUUUUCUGGCAACUUCUCUGAUCUACUUCUAUGUGUAUUCACUUAUUUCAUUCACCAAGAGAGUCAAAUGAGUGAAAUGGUUACAAAUGGUGGCUCUGAAAUAAGACAGACUUGGGUUUCAACACUACUUCUAACACUUAUUGGCUGUGUGGCCUUCAUAUUAGGAUAGAAAAUUCACAUGUUGAAGUUCUAAUCCCCAGUACUUAGAAUGUGACUUUAUUUGGAAUUAGGCUCUUUACGGUUGUGCACUAAUCUAAUAAAACUGGAGUCCUUAGGAAGGCGUGACAUUGGAGACAGGUAUACAUAAGAAGAACACCAUAAUAACAUGAACUCAGGGAUUGGGACGAUGCUUUUACAAGACAAGGAAUGCUGAAGAUUGUCCACAAAUCACCGGAAGCUGUGGGAGAGGCCCAGAACCUGUCCCUUAUUACCCUCACAUGGUGCCAACCCUCCUGACCUUGAUCUUGGACUUCUAGCCUCCAGGACUGUGAGAAAAUAAAUUUAUGUUGUUUAAGUCACCACUUAGUAUGUGGUUCUUUGUUACAGCAGUCCUAGCAAACCCAAUAUGGCUAGUUACCUAACUUUCUAGAAAUUCAAUUUUCUUAUUCCUCAAAUGCAAUGACUUUAGCAGUGAUUCUCAAAGUGUGGUCCCGGACAAGCAGCAUCAGCAUUAUCCAGAAACUUGUUAGAAAUGCAAAUUCAUAGAUUCCCACCCCAGAUUUCCUGACUCAGAAAUCCUUGGGAUGGGGCUCAUAAAUCUGUUUAAACCAGCUCUCCGGAUGAUUCUGAUGCAUGCUCAAGUGUGGAAACUUACGAUAUCGUAGAAAGGAUUCUAUCAGACAAUAUAGGCAAAGUUCCUAGCAUAGUGCCUGACAUACAGUAAAUACCUAAUAUAUGACAAACCACAAGACAUUUUCAAACACUUAUGUAACGCUUAAGGUGGUCCAGCAUAUGGAGGUGUAAAGAUCUAUAAAUUUUGAUUUCUCAGUAAACUGGCAGAACUCACAACUUUGGGGAAGGCAUAUUUGCAACAAUUAAUAAAAUGACCUUAGGUGUUAUAAUAUUGUUCCAAAUGUGUUUUGGGAAGACAGUAGAUAUAAUGGGGCAGUGGAAAAUCAGGACAGAAGGUAUCAAUAAAUAGAUAAAUGAGAGCUAGAUAUGUUUACAGCUGAUUGAUAAAGAUACAUAAUCAAGCACGAGAGGCAACAAAAUAU